AACAGGAUUAGAUACCCUGGUAGUCCACGCCCUAAACGAUGUCUACUAGUUGUCGGGUUUUAAUUAACUUGGUAACGCAGCUAACGCGUGAAGUAGACCGCCUGGGGAGUGCGGUCGCAAGAUUAAAACUCAAAGGAAUUGACGGGGACCCGCACAAGCGGUGGAUGAUGUGGAUUAAUUCGAUGCAACGCGAAAAACCUUACCUACCCUUGACAUGGAAGGAAUCCUGGAGAGAUCUGGGAGUGCCCGAAAGGGAACCUUCACACAGGUGCUGCAUGGCUGUCGUCAGCUCGUGUCGUGAGAUGUUGGGUUAAGUCCCGCAACGAGCGCAACCCUUGUCAUUAGUUGCUACAUUUGGUUGGGCACUCUAAUGAGACUGCCGGUGACAAACCGGAGGAAGGUGGGGAUGACGUCAAGUCCUCAUGGCCCUUAUGGGUAGGGCUUCACACGUCAUACAAUGGUACAUACAGAGGGCCGCCAACCCGCGAGGGGGAGCUAAUCCCAGAAAGUGUAUCGUAGUCCGGAUUGUAGUCUGCAACUCGACUACAUGAAGUUGGAAUCGCUAGUAAUCGCGGAUCAGCAUGUCGCGGUGAAUACGUUCCCGGGUCUUGUACACACCGCCCGUCACACCAUGGGAGCGGGUUUUACCAGAAGUAGGUAGCUUAACCGCAAGGAGGGCGCUUACCACGGUAGGAUUCGUGACUGGGGUGAAGUCGUAACAAGGUAACC
rnacentral:rRNA from 1 species